rnacentral:lncRNA from 1 species
AAUUUCAUAUCAAAUCCAAAUCAAAUGCAUUUAAAACAUUUUUUACUUUGAUUAUUAAAUAUGGCUAGCCUUAAUUUGUUCAUUUUAAGGUAGAUUGAACCAAACACUACUAGUAACCUCUAACCAAAUCCCUAAAGGUUAGGGUUCAAAGCAAUUACAUUCUCCACCAAUAAAUGUAAAAGUUAACUAUUAUAUCCCGUUAAGUGGAG